GGAAGUGAUAUGCAUUUAUGAAGAGAAUGAUUUGAAAAUUGAAUAACGUGGGAGUAUGGUGCGCACGCAUAUUCUUCACAUAACUCUCUCUCUCUCUCUCCCUUAUACGUGCAUGCAUAAACCAUCAUACAUAUCUUCAUGUUUAAUCAUAUUUUUUUCUGAUUCUCAAUCAAUGAUAUGUAUCUUAGCUGUUUUUAAUUUUAAAAAUAGCCAUUCCUAAGAAUUCAUCUAAAAUACUAAUAUGGCUCGACCGCUCGAAUAGAGAGAAAUGUCGAGAGAUGGUUUGGGGAGGAGAAAGAAGAAGGUCGAUGAUAAAAGCCCGAAGAACCGUUGGGCCCAAUAAAUAAGCUGCAAUUAUAAACUUUCCAUAAUCAGGUCUGCCUUUCAAUACGUUUCCAUAAUCAGGUUUCUGCCUUUAUUUACUUGCUAGUGACUACUACUACUAGUUGUGUAGUUCAGUAGGACUUUAGGAGGAAGGAACAAGUAGGCAGUGUUGUGUCUCCUCUCAUCACAUGCACAAAAUAAAUGCAGUAGCAGAGCCGUUUACAGAAAGUAAUAAAUUAAAAGAUUAGAAAGAUAAAUACUACUAUACUAGUAUACUAGUAUAUUACUAUUCUUAGUUAGGCGGACGUGGGCUGGCUCUCGCGCAUUUGUCAAAGGAUGUGUUCCAACCUUUUUACUCUGUUUACCAAUUAGAUUAAGAUCAAU
rnacentral:lncRNA from 1 species